AUUUGUCCUCCUGUCAUUUUGACAAACUAAUCAUAACUUUACUAUCUGGAAUACAGUGUGAGUACAUACUUAACGUAGUUUUACUAAGAAGAACACAUCGUAUGACAUACAAACCUUCAAAGCUGGGUUUAAAGAAGAAAAAUUCUACCGAACCAUCAGUUAUUUUCUUUGCAAGAUAUUGUGUUCUUCCUUUUUUUGUCAUAUGCAGCUCAAAGAUAUUACAUUUCUACAAAAAAAAGUGAAAUCACAAAAAUACUGAACUCCGAAGAAAAUUCAAAAAGGAAAGUCCACAAUCAAAUGGCAAAAUCAAAAGCUCAAACACAUCGAACGAAUGGAUAACAACUGUCAUAUUCCUGAGUUCGUACAGGCAUUUUCUUAUUUAGAAAAUUGC
rnacentral:lncRNA from 1 species